GUACUUAAAGCCCUGACUGCCAUCGCUGCUGUCCUCCUCUUGGUACCAAGGCUAAUACGCUGUACACUGCCGAGCGCUUUACCCAGCCGAGGAGAAGGAGAAAAUUCUCUCAGAACCCGGCAGACACCUCGCUGCCACCGCCCUGCUCCCUCCCCUCCCCAACCAGACCCCAGCCCUUCUGGGGUGCUAGGAAAUGGGUGUGCCAGCCUCUGUGGGAGAGAUGGCGGAUUUGACGCUGUCUGGGCUUCACAGGCGAGGGGACCCCAAGAGAAUCCGAUAUUAAAUCGCCGUGCUAACUGCCAGGCUGCUUUCCAGACACCUGUGGCCCAGCCAGCCCUGGUCUUUUCAGAACUGGAAAAGGAAUUCUGGUAUGCUGGAGAGAGAAAUGGCGGUUGCCAGGGGAUUUGGGUCGGGGGUGGGAGGCGGAGCCCAGAGCCGAAAAAUCAGAGAAAACCAUAAAACCAUGACCCUGAAAUUGAGGAGGGUCUAAGCGCCCUUGUUCUGCGAGCCAACGCUAGGCCUGGAAGCUAGAGGUGAACCGCGGCUGAUCAUAGGAGGGGCACAUUAGAAUAUCUGGCAGAAAUCCCC
rnacentral:lncRNA from 1 species